rnacentral:rRNA from 1 species
UACAGAGGGUGCAAGCGUUAAUCGGAAUUACUGGGCGUAAAGCGUGCGUAGACGGUUAUCUAAGUCGGAUGUGAAAUCCCCGGGCUCAACCUGGGAAUUGCAUUCGAGACUGAAUAGCUAGGGUACGGAAGAGGGAAGCGGAAUUUCCGGUGUAGCAGUGAAAUGCGUAGAUAUCGGAAGGAACAUCAGUGGCGAAAGCGGCUUCCUGGUCCAGUACCGACGUUCAGGCACGAAAGCGUGGGGAGCAAACAGG